CAAUAGCGUAUAUUAAAGUUGUUGCAGUUAAAAAGCUCGUAGUUGGAUUUGUGGCGGUUCCUGUGGUCCGAUUUCGGUACUUUCGGGGACUGCCAUCCUUGGGUGGAUCCUGUGUGGCAUUAGGUUGUCGUGCAGGGGAUGCCCAUCGUUUACUGUGAAAAAAUUAGAGUGUUCAAAGCAGGCUUAUGCCGUUGAAUAUAUUAGCAUGGAAUAAUGAGAUAGGACCUUGGUACUAUUUUGUUGGUUUGAGCACCGAGGUAAUGAUUAAUAGGGACAGUUGUGGGUAUUCGUAUUCCAUUGUCAGAGGUGAAAUUCUUGGAUUUCUGGAAGACAACGAAUGCGAAAGCAUUUACCAAGGAUGUUUUCAUUAA
rnacentral:rRNA from 1 species